rnacentral:ribozyme from 1 species
GCUAAUUACAACUUGCGAAUUGAUCUAGAUAAAAGUGCGCUGUUGAAAAGCGAUACUUCAGAGCCUGUGUUGAAUGCAUUGAGGGAAGCAUGCGUAGAAGCGAAGCAGGCCCAUUUGCCUCUUGUGC